UCCUAGCUGCUANCACAUUUGUGUUANCUUUUCCUUAGCGUAUAUAACUAGGGGAAUAAGGGCUGGGUAANACGGGUGCCAGCCGCCGCGGUNAUA
rnacentral:rRNA from 1 species